rnacentral:rRNA from 1 species
CGGUAAUACGGGGGAUACGAGCGUUAUCCGGAUUUAUUGGGUUUAAAGGGUGCGUAGGUGGCAUAUUAAGUCAGCGGUGAAAAGCUGUGGCUCAACCACAGUCUUGCCGUUGAUACUGGUUUGCUUGAGUACAGUUGAUGUAGGCGGAAUGCGUAGUGUAGCGGUGAAAUGCAUAGAUAUUACGCAGAACUCCGAUUGCGAAGGCAGCUUACAAAAGUGUUACUGACACUGAUGCACGAAAGCGUGGGUAUCCAACAGGAUUAGAUACCCUGGUAGUCCACGCUGUAAACUAUGAUUACUCAGAGUAUGCGAUAUACCGUAUGCUCUCUAGCGAAAGCAUUUAGUAAUCCACCUGGGGAGUNNUCAGCACGAUGAACUCAAAGGAUUGACGGGGCCCNCNCANCGGAGGACAUGUGNUUUAUUCA